GCCUCGUUGCAUCCAAGAGAGCAAGAUGGGUCACCAGCAGCUGUACUGGAGCCAUCCGAGGAAAUUUGGCCAGGGUUCUCGUUCUUGCCACGUCUGCUCAAGCCGGCACGGUCUCAUCCGGAAAUACGGCCUCAAUGUGUGCUGCCAAUGUUUACGUCAGUACGCGAAGGAUAUAGGCUUCAUUAAGUUGGAUUAAGUGAACUUCCUUGAAUUGGUCGUCCAGGAUAACUUACCUUAACUGCAGAUAUCCAAGAUACCUACUUUAAUGCCAACUCAUUGUACAUGAAAUAAAAAUACUUCAAUUAUGAGUGUU